rnacentral:rRNA from 1 species
AGAGUUUGAUCAUGGCUCAGGAUGAACGCUAGCCAUAGGCCUAACACAUGCAAGUCGAGGGGCACCACAUGAAGUAGCAAUACGGAUGGUGGCGACCGGCGCACGGUUGAGUAACGCGUAUGCAACCUGCCUACCACAGGGGGAUAACCCGUUGAAAGACGGACUAAUACCUCAUAAUACAGGGGUUCCGCAUGGGAAUAUUUGUUAAAGAUUAAUCGGUUGUAGAUGGGCAUGCGUUCCAUUAGCUGGUUGGAGAGGUAACGGCUCACCAAGGCAACGAUGGAUAGGGGAACUGAGAGGUUUAUCCCCCACACUGGUACUGAGACACGGACCAGACUCCUACGGGAGGCAGCAGUGAGGAAUAUUGGUCAAUGGACGCAAGUCUGAACCAGCCACGUCGCGUGAAGGAAGACGGCCCUACGGGUUGUAAACUUCUUUUGUAAAGGAAUAAAGUGAGUCACGAGUGACUUUUUGCAUGUACCUUACGAAUAAGGAUCGGCUAACUCCGUGCCAGCAGCCGCGGUAAUACGGAGGAUCCGAGCGUUAUCCCGAUUUAUUGGGUUUAACGGGUGCGCAGGCGGGAGAUUAAGUCGGCGGUGAAAUUUUGCAGCUCAACUGUAAAUGUGCCUUCGUAACUGGUAUCCUUGAGUGUGGAUGAAGUAGGCGGAAUUUGUGGUGUAGCGGUGAAAUGCAUAGAUAUCACGAGGAACUCCGAUUGCGCAGGCAGCUUACUAAGCCAUAACUGACGCUCAGGCACGAAGGCG